CAUCACCUAUUCUCAUAUGAUCACUGAAGUUAAGCAACAUCAAGCCUGAUCAGUACCUAGAUGGGUGACUGCUUGGGAAUACCAGGUGGU